rnacentral:rRNA from 1 species
UACGGAGGGGGCAAGCGUUAUUCGGAAUUAUUGGGCGUAAAGGGCGCGUAGGCGGCAUGGCAAGUGGAUGGUGAAAUCCCUCGGCUUAACCGAGGAACUGCCGUCCAAACUGCUUCGCUUGAGACCGGGAGAGGUGAGUGGAAUUCCCAGUGUAGCGGUGAAAAUGCGUAGAUAUUGGGGAGGAACACCAGUGGCGAAGGCGGCUCACUGGACCGGUACUGACGCUGAUGCGCGAAAGCGUGGGGAGCAAACGGG